rnacentral:rRNA from 1 species
UUGGACAAUGCGGGAAACCCUGNUCCAGCGACGCCGCGUGGGUGAAGAAGGCCUGCGGGUUGUAAAGCCCUUUCAGUGGGGAAGAAAAGCCUCGACCUAAUACGUCGGGGUAUUGACGUAACUCACAAAAGAAGCACCGGCUAACUCUGUGCCAGCAGCCGCGGUAAUACAGAGGGUGCGAGCGUUAAUCGGAAUUACUGGGCGUAAAGCGCGCGUAGGCGGCUUUGCAAGUCGGAUGUGAAAUCCCCGGGCUCAACCUGGGAACUGCAUUCGAGACUGCAUUGCUUGAGUAUGGGAGAGGGAGGCGGAAUUUCAGGUGUAGCGGUGAAAUGCGUAGAUAUCUGAAGGAACAUCAGUGGCGAAAGCGGCCUCCUGGACCAAUACUGACGCUCAUGUGCGAAAGCGUGGGGAGCAAACAGGAUUAGAUACCCUGGUAGUCCACGCCAUAAACGAUGAGAACUAGAUGUCGGGAGGGUUAGCCUCUCGGUGUCGCAGCUAACGCGUUAAGUUCUCCGCCUGGGGAGUACGGCCGCAAGGUUGAAACUCAAAGAAAUUGACGGA